GGAUGCGAUCAUACCAGCACUAAAGCACCGGAUCCCAUCAGAACUCCGAAGUUAAGCGUGCUUGGACGAGAGUAGUACUAGGAUGGGUGACCUCUUGGGAAGUCCUCGUGUUGCAUCCCUCC
rnacentral:rRNA from 1 species